rnacentral:rRNA from 1 species
CCUACGGGAGGCAGCAGUGAGGAAUAUUGGUCAAUGGACGAGAGUCUGAACCAGCCAAGUAGCGUGAAGGAUGACUGCCCUAUGGGUUGUAAACUUCUUUUAUAUGGGAAUAAAAUGUUCCACGUGUGGGUUUUUGUAUGUACCAUAUGAAUAAGGAUCGGCUAACUCCGUGCCAGCAGCCGCGGUAAUACGGAGGAUCCGAGCGUUAUCCGGAUUUAUUGGGUUUAAAGGGAGCGUAGGUGGAUUGUUAAGUCAGUUGUGAAAGUUUGCGGCUCAACCGUAAAAUUGCAGUUGAAACUGGCAGUCUUGAGUACAGUAGAGGUGGGCGGAAUUCGUGGUGGAGCGGUGAAAUGCUUAGAUAUCACGAAGAACUCCGAUUGCGAAGGCAGCUCACUAGACUGCAACUGACACUGAGGCUCGAAAGUGUGGGUAUCAAACAGGAUUAGAUACCCCAGUAGUC